rnacentral:rRNA from 1 species
GACGAACGCUGGCGGCGUGCUUAACACAUGCAAGUCGAACGAAGUGUCGAACGGGUGAGUAAUACGUUGGUAACUGCCCUCCUUUUUGGGAUAAGCCUUGGAAACGGGGUCUAAUACCGAAUAAAGGGGGCUGGGGUCGCGGCCUAUCGGCUUGUUGGUGGGGUUAUGGCCUAACAAGGCGGUGACGGGUAGCCGGCCUGAGAGGGGACCGGGCAAAGUGGGCUGAAAGACUGACCAGACUAGUACGUGGAGCAGCAGUGUGGGAUAUUGCACAAUGGGCGGAAGCCUGAUGCAGCGACGCCGCGUGAGGGAUGAAGGCAUGAGGGUUGAAAACUCCUUUCGACAGGGACGCGGUACCUGUAUAAGAAGCACCGGCAAGCUACGUGCCAGCCACCGCGGUAAUAC